rnacentral:rRNA from 1 species
CGGCACGCCUUAUACAUGCAAGUCGAACGCAGUAGCAAUACUGAGUGGCAGACGGGUGAGUAUAAUGUGGGAAUCUGCCUUUUGGUUUGGAAUAACUCGGGGAAACCUGAGCUAAUACUGGAUAAGCCCUUACGGGGAAAGCUUUACGCGCCAAAAGAUGAGCCCGCACUUGAUUAGCUUGUUGGUGAGGUAAAAGCUCACCAAGGCAACGAUCAAUAGCUGUUCUUAGAGGAAGACCAGCCACAUUGGGACUGAGACACGGCCCAGACUCCUACGGGAGGCAGCAGUAAGGAAUCUUGCACAAUGGGGGAAACCCUGAUGCAGCGAUGCCGCGUGAGUGAAGAAGGCCUUUGGGUUGUAAAACUCUUUCGUCGGGGAAGAAAAUGACUGUACCCGAAUAAGAAGGUCCGGCUAACU